UGUAACCCACUUUCCUAUCGUGAAUCUCACAGUCAAACUCUCCCGACCCUGCCUCCUUAUCCUCCCCGAGUUCCAUCAUUGGAUGCACGAUUAGCUGCAAAGACAACACAAGAAACAUCAGAACUUGGCUACGAACCUCAAUAUACCAAUGCAACUAAAAUAAAUGUACACUUGUACACGAAAAAAGAACCCACAGAUGUACACUUGUACACUAACAAACCAUUGUACACAUGUACAGGGACAAAUCAUUGUACAUGUAUACACUAACAAACAAAUGUACACAUGUUUAAAUGCCAUUACGAAAACUUAAACUCAAUCUUUGCACCUAUCCAACACAAGAAACAUACAAAUGCAACUAAAAUAAUUGUACACAUGUACGCAUCAACUACAUACCCAGCUUCAAACUCUCCCGUUACGUAGCCAAAUUCAGCCAGCGAGAACCUCAUC
rnacentral:lncRNA from 1 species